rnacentral:rRNA from 1 species
UACGUAGGGUGCAAGCGUUGUCCGGAAUUAUUGGGCGUAAAGAGCUCGUAGGCGGUUUGUCGCGUCUGCUGUGAAAACCCGAGGCUCAACCUCGGGCCUGCAGUGGGUACGGGCAGACUAGAGUGCGGUAGGGGAGAUUGGAAUUCCUGGUGUAGCGGUGGAAUGCGCAGAUAUCAGGAAGAAUAUCCGUGGCGAAAGCGGCUCUCUGGAACGGUACUGACGCUGAGACGCGAAAGCGUGGGGAGCGAACAGG